AGUAAGAUGGUUGAGAAAUAGACAAUAGACUGUAAAUCUAUGAACGAGGAUUAUUAUUGAACCUCUCUUGCUA
rnacentral:tRNA from 1 species